GGCUGGUCCCACUGCAGUGGUGUUUACACCUAAUCGAUCAAAAUCAGUUCCUUCUCCACUCCCACUGCUUCACUUGGCUAGUCUUAA
ensembl:misc_RNA Y_RNA Y RNA